GCGGAAAUGACUCAACGGUAGAGUGCCACCUUGCCAAGGUGGAGGCUGCGAGUUCGAAUCUCGUUUUCCGCUCCA
rnacentral:tRNA from 2 species